UAUAUGUAUGUAUAUCCCUCGUGGUUGGGCCCAUGCCAAAUCCCCCAAAGGCAAACGAAUUCCGGGGAGAGUUGUUCCAUGGCCAACCGCAUAACAGGAAGCGGGAUCGCGGGUUCCUAGCUCCUUAACACCUGCCUGCACCCCAUUAAAAUGGUAUGGGGCCAGUGUCAAUGCCAAGUUUAGAAACGGAACACAAAAAUAAAUUGACAUCUCAGGCUGGCCGUAAAUCAAUGGAGACAACUCAGACAUCCAAACCAUGUUGAAGUGACGAAAUGAGCUGCAGAGUGAGUCAUAAAACACUGAAAUCUAGAGGAGAUGGAUCACAUUUGAUGGUUGUCUUUUAUGAUCCCACAAUUGAGAUACAGGAGGACAGUGUAGAUAUAUUUGAGAAGGAAACGGUGGAUCACAAAUGAUGGAUGGAAUUCCUAGUCAUUUGAGAUAGGAGCUUAUGUUUGAUAAGCAUUACCCCAAAAACUGAUGGCAACUUAUAAAUAAACAGCAAAUAUGGAAGACAUCAAAUUGGCGUAUAUAAGCACUUCAGCUUCGAUGCCUGGCCAUUGUUCGGGGAUCUUGAGAAGAACAGAGGAAUCAUUUGUCUUCUAAUUAUGAUUUCAAUGGCUUGGCAGAAUCAAAGAAGGCGUAAUUCGCUCUCACCACAGCCAGGACUCGUUCGGGGCCGCCUCUAAGGCGGCAAAUCGAAUCAAAGAAAUAGCAAACAAACAAAUAAGAAAGGAAAAGGAGUCUCCUCUAUGGUAUUGUUGACAGGCCGCCGAAAUGAAGGAGACCGCAAAAUACACUCAGACAAAGGAUGCGGAGCAGGGGCGACUUCAUUUGCACAAAAGGAGCGGAAAAAGCGAUCAAAGAGCUAACACAAAGCGGAGCACCGAACUCGAAAACAUAAAGCACAGCCCAUCAUCACAUGUCCGACGCGAGGUAAACCCAUCUGAAAAACCCCUAAGCAGGCCAAAAUCCAAACCAUAUCCAUGCGGCCAGCUUAGGACUCCUUUUUUAUUUUUUUGGCCUCAUCUGCUUUGUUUGCCACCACAUUGCGUUGUCGUCUUUAAGCUCUUUAAGCGAUAUUAAAACAUUUCACGGCGCAGCAGGAGGUGGCUUGGAAAUUUCAAAGCUCUCAAGGUUUCACAAAAAUAAUAUCAACAUAACCUUUGAACCAGAACUGCAUAUG